GCGGCGGUAGUCUAGCCUGGUUUAGGAUGGCGGCCUGCCAAGCCGUUGAUCCCGGGAGGGAUUCCCCGGGCGUUCAAAUCCCGGCCGCCGCACCA
rnacentral:tRNA from 1 species